rnacentral:rRNA from 1 species
UGGGGAAUUUUGGACAAUGGGCGAAAGCCUGAUCCAGCAAUGCCGCGUGUGUGAAGAAGGCCUUCGGGUUGUAAAGCACUUUUGUCCGGAAAGAAAUCCUUGGCUCUAAUACAGUCGGGGGAUGACGGUACCGGAAGAAUAAGCACCGGCUAACUACGUGCCAGCAGCCGCGGUAAUACGUAGGGUGCAAGCGUUAAUCGGAAUUACUGGGCGUAAAGCGUGCGCAGGCGGUUUGCUAAGACCGAUGUGAAAUCCCCGGGCUCAACCUGGGAACUGCAUUGGUGACUGGCAGGCUAGAGUAUGGCAGAGGGGGGUAGAAUCCCACGUGUAGCAGUGAAAUGCGUAGAGAUGUGGAGGAAUACCGAUGGCGAAGGCAGCCCCCUGGGCCAAUACUGACGCUCAUGCAACGAAAGCGUGGGGAGCAAACAGGAUUAGAUACCCUGGUAGUCCACGCCCUAAAACGAUGUCAACUAGUUGUUGGGGAUUCAUUUCCUUAGUAACGUAGCUAACGCGUGAAGUUGACCGCCUGGGGAGUACGGUCGCAAGAUUAAAACUUAAAGGAAUUGACGGGGUCAUAGCUGUUUCCU